GAUGAACGCUGGCGGCGUGCUUAACACAUGCAAGUCGAACGGAAAGGCUCCUGCUUGCAGGGGUACUCGAGUGGCGAACGGGUGAGUAACACGUGGGUGAUCUGCCCUGCACUUCGGGAUAAGCCUGGGAAACUGGGUCUAAUACCGGAUAGGACGAUGGUUUGGAUGCCAUUGUGGAAAGUUUUUCGGUGUGGGAUGAGCUCGCGGCCCAUCAGCUUGUUGGUGGGGUAAUGGCCUACCAAGGCGUCGACGGGUAGCCGGCCUGAGAGGGUGUACGGCCACAUUGGGACUGAGAUACGGCCCAGACUCCUACGGGAGGCAGCAGUGGGGAAUAUCGCACAAUGGGCGCAAGCCUGAUGCAGCGACGCCGCGUGGGGGAUGACGGCCUUCGGGUUGUAAACUCCUUUCGCUAGGGACGAAGCGCAAGUGACGGUACCUGGAGAAGAAGCACCGGCUAACUACGUG
rnacentral:rRNA from 1 species